rnacentral:misc_RNA from 1 species
ACCAAAUUAACAAAGAUCAGGGGUUGUGAGAUAUGAAACGCGUACAACAUUACUACAAUCCAGAUGGGGAACAAUGUUUUGCACCCUACACUACUGUAUAAUUUGCAAGACAAUAUUUACACUGGUGAACACUCUCAUUGCCAAAAUUGGACUCCUACAAUUGUGGUGCAUGGACUCAUUUAACAUAGAUUGUGAACAAUUCAGUGUAGUAUCAAAACCCGCUUGGGAAGCUCUUGCAGAAAAACACCAGAAGGGAACAGUUGGAACUGAGCCAAUCAGUUAAAAGCUGACAUUUUGUUUUUCUCACCAGUUCUGCAACUGUGAAGUGAUACUUUUCACUACAGGAUGAUAUUCAGUAUGCAGGUACCUCCUAGCUUUCUCUGAACCAGGCUGUUCAAGCCACUCACUGUAUAGGCCCAUUACGAUGGGAUUGUUGAAAGGAUCAGCAACCACAACAUUUUCUACAUAAGCCGUCUCCAACAGCUGAAUCAACUCUUUACCCGACUGCCCAGGUUGUGGCUUUAUUUGUCCGGCGCCAUUUAAGCAUCCUGAAGGGCAUGCCAUGAUCUCCAAGAAAUGGUAGUCAGACUUCCCCAUUUUCAAUUUCCUAACAACAUUCUGCAGGUUCCGGAAACCAUAACAUAACGCAAAUUUCAGGACAGAUUUAUCAUUCACUUCUAGGCUCACUUCUUGGAAAUCAGAGUUCCUUAUAGUCUUGAAUGCUAAAGGGCCUUUAACUUCUUGACCUAAAAGCACUUUCGCAACAUGACGAUAAAUGGUCUCUGCAUAUCCUCCAGAGCUUCCAUGAACCCCAUAAAGAUGGCCCUUCUCAUCAAUAUUUGUGAACAAUUUAUCUAGGGGGGACUCUUCCAAGGAUUGAAAAUCGACUGCUUUUAACUGUAUCAAAUCCAAAACCUCUCCUGUUGUCAAAACUGAAUCAACCUCCAUAAUUUUUUCACUAUCUGUAUCUACUUGAAACACAAAAUCCUCACGAGCAGCCUCGAGCUUCUUGUCAUAACAUGGCAUUACAGUCACAUGGUAUAUAUCCUCUGGUCUUACACUUAGCUUUGAGCAUAAAAAAUUCUUGACGACUGCACCAAUAGUUUGUUGGGGGCUCUUGACUGAAGAAAUGUAUGGAAGAAUGUAAGAACCAAGGGUCUUCUCAGCAUAACAUAUCCAACCUGGA